rnacentral:rRNA from 1 species
CGGGACACUAUUACAGGUGGUGCAUGGUUGUCGUCAGCUCGUGUCGUGAGAUGUUGGGUUAAGUCCCGCAACGAGCGCAACCCUGUUGUUAGUUGAUAACAUUAAAGAUGAUCACUCUAACGAGACUGCCGGUGAUAAAUCGGAGGAAGGUGGGGACGACGUCAAAUCAUCAUGCCCCUUAUGUCUUGGGCUACACACGUACUACAAUGGCUAUUACAAUGAGAAGCAAAGCUGUAAAGUGGAGCAAAUCUAUAAAAAUAGUCUCAGUUCAGAUUGUGGGCUGCAACCCGCCCACAUGAAGUCGGAAUUGCUAGUAAUGGCAGGUCAGCAUACUGCCGUGAAUACGUUCCCGGGCCUUGUACACACCGCCCGUCACACCAUGAGAGUCUGCAACACCCGAAGUCGAUAGUCUAACCGCAAGGAGGACGUCGCCGAAGGUGGGGCCGAUGAUUGGGGUGAAGUCGUAACAAGGUAGCCGUAUCGGAAGGUGCGGCUGGAUCACCUCCUUUCUG